rnacentral:rRNA from 1 species
UACGAACCGUACGAACGUUAUUCGGAAUCACUGGGCUUAAAGAGUGCGUAGGCGGCUUGGUAAGUUGGAUGUGAAAUCCCUCGGCUCAACCGAGGAACUGCGUUCAAUACUGCCAAGCUUGAGGGGGAUAGGGGUGAGCGGAACUAAUGGUGGAGCGGUGAAAUGCGUUGAUAUCAUUAGGAACACCGGAGGCGAAGGCGGCUCACUGGGUCUCUUCUGACGCUGAGGCACGAAAGCUAGGGGAGCGAACGGGAUUAGAUACCCGCGUA